GAUGAACGCUAGCGGCAGGCCUAAUACAUGCAAGACGAACGGUAACUUUGGUAGCAAUAUUGAAGCAAGAGUGUCGUAAGGGUGCGUAACACGUAUGCAAUCUGCCCUCAACAGGAGGAUAGCUCCCCGAAAGGGGAAUUAACACUCCAUAAGAUUGUGGUCUGGCAUCAGACAGCAAAUUAAAACUACGGUGGUUGAGGAUGAGCAUGCGCAUGAUUAGUUAGUUGGCGGGGUAACGGCCCACCAAGACGAUGAUCAUUAGGGGAACUGAGAGGUUGACUCCCCCACACUGGCACUGAGAUACGGGCCAGACUCCUACGGGAGGCUG
rnacentral:rRNA from 1 species